GCAAUCAAACACAACCUGGAUACUGUAUAAUAAUUAAUCAGUCAUCACUAUCAUAUGCAAUUUUUGAUCGUUAAGUAGAAACAAGUUUCAUCACUUGCUUAUCGAUUACACAAAGCUUGGCUACUUCUUUUGGUCAAACUAUGUCUGACAAUCAUCAUGUCAAACUAUGUCUUACAAUCAUCAUCAUAUUUUUCUUUGUGAGCCAGAAUCAAUUACGAGGCAGAUAUAUGACAAGCUCAGACUCUAGUACAAGCUCUAGAAGACAUAUGACAAGCUCAGACUCUGGUACAAGCUCUAGCUGACGUGAUCACGGUCCGCACAUCUCCUGCUGACUUCAUCGUUGCCAAUCGCGAGCUCACCACAGACCUCAGCAACUCAACAGCACAAGCCGGCACAUUUCUCAACAUCAUCAUAGCCUGACGAACACACAAGCCAACAACUUGCUUGGCACACACGAUCUCAACACGAGACUUCGGGUCAGCAAUAGUUUGAUAUUGUUGGAGAAGUGAAGGGGUUUCGAGCCAUCUUCUAUGACAAAACUCAGACAGCUCAGCACAUCAUAGCGAAUAUCAUAAUUGAGAGGGAUGUAUUUUCCUUAACGCUACCUCUGGGACUCAGUUCUAUUCCGACGAUGAGAGCUACUAUCACAAGAACUACUUGGAAAGGCACUUUCCCAAUGAAGAAGUAUCGGCCUCCAACUCUACGAAGUAUGGGGGUGUGAGGAAGAUUGAUUCUUUGACUGUCUUGGAGUGAAAUGCAUAUAUGAUUACUCCAAGCCCACAGACAGCUGAAUUCAUAUGCACUGUUAAAGUGUAGGAGAUAUAUACUGAUAAUGGAUGGUCCUACAUAUCAUGUUCUAAGUAUGUACGUAAAUUGCAAAGGAGAUUAUCGUCCUUCACCAGCUUGCAAUAAUGAAAACGCAGUCGGAGUUGUUAGGUGCAUAUUGCAGAUGGUAGUAUCGGAUGCAUCUGACACCGCUGUCUUUGUCGCAUUUGACACUACAAUGACUCAGGUAAUGAAUGUGCAUGUGCGUGCUGCUGAAGUCUCCCAACUCCUGGACGUUGUAUGGAAGACGUACAUGGCAGAGCCCUCAAAAAAUUGUUAGCUGUACCUUAACCUUCCAGUUGAAGCUCACACCAUUCAAUUUCUAUACAAAACAUCAGAGAUGUACUAUCUCAAGCAUUUACGAUCACCACCAGCGCAACCCCUUGAUGAUUUUUCUGCUCAGGGAGGUAACAACCAUCCUGAUAAUGAUAUUCCAGGUGCUGGUUCAAAGGUGAAGAGUUGUACUGAUGUGAAGAACAAUGUUCCCGUGAACAUGAGAUGUUGCAAUAAUGGUGGGGCGUUGAAUGGAUACGCCAGGAAGCUGUUCAGAAUGCGGUCCCUGUUGUUUCUGCCCCAACCUCCGAAUUUCCAUGGGCUACUGAUGACAGACCUACUGGGGAGAAGGCCUGGACUGAUUAGACUCGCAGCUUUUUGAGUCUACUAUCCUUUACUUGACUCUCACCUCUUAGAUGCACUGCAGUCUUUUUUUACUUUUGUUUUUUUAAUGAAUAAUUUCCCUUCAGUUUCUUCUCUGUUAAUGUGUUUUCCACCUAAGCUUCUACUCUGUUCAAUGAGUUUGCAAUGGUUUACGAUGGUUACUAUAAACUUUGUUCGACAAAUCGUUAUAGGCAGAAAAUAUUUAUGUCGCACCA